CUCCAGGCUCCGAGUUGCCAGCACAGAGCCCGACGCGGGGCUGGAACUCACGGACCCCGAGAUCAUGACCCGAGCCGAAGUCGGACGCUCAACCGACGGAGCCACCCAGGCGCCCCUCACCUGAAGAGCUUUCAGAACGGCUGAUGCCUGGGUCUGCCACCCAGAAAUUCGAAUGUAAUCAGCCGGGACCGUGGCCUGAGCUCGAGGAGUUAGUUAGCCAGGUGACCCUAACGCGCAGCCACGGCGGAGAACCACGGAGGAGCCCCCGCCACCAAGCCCUCCCUACCCGGGCUCCGAGGGUUAAGCGGGAACGGGCGGGUGGGGGCGGGGCUUCGAGGCAGGGGCGGGGCCGCAGAGGAAGCCUGGCGGGAUCUCCAGGUCGCCGCCGCCAGCCCGCCCGGCCGUAGCUAAGACGAGCGGAAACGCCUCCGUUUUACAAAACAAAGGGAGAAACGGGAGGCGUGCGCGGCCCGCGGGGCUGAGACCUCGGCGGUUGGCCCCUCCGGCCCGGGCGCUGCAGCAUCUCUGGAUGGCCAUGGCGACGAGCCUUGGGAGCGGCUGGCGCUGGGGGUCCGACGGCCGCCAGGCGCCUCCGAAGAUCACGCCGACCGUGGAGGAGCUGCAGAGCCGCGUGCAAGAGACGCUGGACCUGCUGUCCCCGCGGGAGCUGAGCCACUUCCGCGUCCUCCUCAAGACCGUGGACGAGGGGCCGCGCGUGAGCCCCCUGCGGCUGGAGCUGGAGGGCGGCAGCAAGGCGGGGCUGGCCCGUCUCCUGGCCCAGCACUACUACCUGCCCGCCGUGUCGCGCGUUCUCAUCAAGGUGCUGCAGCAGCUGCGCCGCGCCGACCUGCUGCCGCGCUGGCAGAGCGCGGAAGACGACGACCGCCGGGAGAUUCCAAGAAAGAUUCUAAAGAGAAGCUAUGACUGUGUGGAUGGCGAACUGGACUGUUAUGACCUGAGUGGCAAGCGGAAGGCUUUCCUCAUGUGUGUGGAGAAGAACAGACCCGGGGCUCACCGGGACGUCAUGCUAAUGACCGAAUGGCUUGGCCAAUGCCAGUUUGAGCAUACUUCGUGCAUCGAUCCAAACAAAAUGGAGUUACUUGGGAAAAUAUCAUCAUUUCGGGAUGGACUCAAUGAAAUUAAGGAUGAUGUUGGCUGUUGCCUUGUUACUCUUAUGUCCCACGGGGAGAAAGGCUUUAUUAAGAUGAAAGAUGGUGAGAGAGUCAGCCUGGAGGACAUUUUUGAAAUGUUUAAUAAUAAAAAUUGUCCGGCACUUCAAGAGAAACCAAAGAUCUUUAUAAUUCAGGCCUGCAGAGGAGAGAAAAGAGAUAAUGGUGUUGAGACAGACGAUGAACCCAUGGAGUCUGAUGACGUAUCUGAGAAGAGGAGGCUGCCCACGUUCAGUGAUUACUUCAUCAUCUAUCCUACCCAGGCAGAUCACGUUGCUUUACGGCACCCUCGCACGGGCUCGGUGAUGAUCGAAGCGAUGGCGGAGGUCUUUAAACAGCAUGGAAAUAAGUGGCACAUCGCUGACUUUUUCACCAAAAGAGCUAAUGAGAAGAGAUCAGAGAAGCGCCCAGGAACAGCGAGGCUAACAUCGAUUGCGGGGCUCACUCCACGCCAGUUACCAUUCUCUGCGCUUCCCAGAUACGAAUCCAGUUAAGCUUCCCAACACCCCUCAGGGACCUCCUGGGAUUCCCAUCCCCCGUGAAAGAUGGGGGCGAGUCGGUGGCCGAGCUGGCACCCCAGCCUGGGCAGAGUGCUUCUAGAGUUCAUGCCCUAAUCACAAUUACAUAUGAAUUACUCCACACCUGCCCAAGGUGAAUAACAGAGUGGUGCACACUGAGUUUCAUCUACACGAGGAACCCAUAAAAGUGUCACUUGUCAUGGAGUCGACUUUAACUAAAUCUGUGUACUUUUGACGUCGGGAGGAUGAAAAGCUAAGGGCUGCUUUGUAACCGACGGUGUCAAGAACAGAGAGCGUCUGUAGCGCGGUUCGAAUGGUUAUCAUUUGGGGUUAUUUCUGUCACCAGUUGUACUUCUCCGGUUUGUUUUGCAUUUAUGUGUAUUUUCCCAAGAUUGGGCCACGUAGAGUUGGCGCUCGAUUUGUGGACCAUUUUUAUAAUGUGCUUCCCUUACUGAUGACACUCCACCCUCUCCGACUUGGGUGCUGGCGUUCAUCCUCGUUUUCUUGGCUUAGUCUUCAAGAGCUGUCUCUGUGUAGUCCUGUCCUGGCUCGCCCGAUUUCCCCCAUGUUGUUGUCUGCAGCCAGACUCGUCUCCUUUUUGACUCCGUAAGCCAUUCUCGAGUCUGACCCGGGUGUCUUCGUUUGUACUUUGUUGCCCUCGAUGCCUCGUGUUUCCACCCUCCACCCAUUCCCCAGCUUCUCCCUUGCUGCGCGGUACCUCUGAAUGCUGUUUUCUCUGCCUGGGAUGCUCUGUUCCACUCCAGUCCUUUCCGCCCCUCCGGGUUUGGGUCAAGCAUCCUUUGCACGGGAAAGUGUUUCGCCGAGGCCUCGUGCUAGGCCAGCUCUUCCCGAGUGCUCACAGACCGAGUGCUUUUCUUCUGCAGCAUUUAGCACCACUGUACUUAAAGGACUGUGCAGUGGCCACGAAUCUCUCUCCAGUUCAGUCAUAAGCUCCAAGAGGCAGAGGCUGUGUGUCUCAUUCAUUGCUGUAUCCCAGCUUCCAUCGGUGCCUUAAGACAUAAGAAGCGAUGUGAUGAAUGUUUGGUGAAUGACUAGUCUCUGUCUUUUAAUUGUUUUGUCCAUUCAUCAGACCUCGCCUCAUUACCUCUGUGCAUCUGUCCACCUUCCGGCCAUCCCCACCUGGCUGGUUGUCGUGUGGCGUCUUUAACUCCCUAAGUUGGAAGUCAACCUACAUUUCCCUUAAAUCUCUUUACAAAACCCAUCCCAUUGUGAAUAAUCCUCUGACUCCCCACUGCUUUCGGAAUAUACUCAGAUUGCCCUAGGAGAAUAUUCCAAGUCCUUCUCUGUCAGGCCUGCACUGCCCGUUUGUCCUGGGUCUUGACCACACGGGAUGAUUUGUCCUCCCCUCGGGCAUCCCCUCUCACAGAAUCAGGCUUGUGGGUUAAUGAAUGUUGAAUGAAUGCUCUUGGCUAUGUUCAUUGAACAAUGAACUAUGGUUCCUUCUCUCCCUUCUGCCUGAAGCGUCCUUUGUUCUGUGUGCUUUCUCUACACCACACAUUCUUUAGGGUGCGGCUUGGGUCCCAUCCCACCAGAAGGAAAACUGUAUGUAGACUAGCGUUUACUUAGAGUUCACCAACUCCUGGCUGAAGAUGAGCUUUCAUUGUGAUUGUGUUCUCACUUUUCGUGUAACUUUGGACUAUACUAAACCCUGGUUUCCACAUCAUAAAAGGAGAUUUGGCUCGGCUGAGAACUCAUCCAGUCACUGGACUUCCCUGAACUUUGGCCUCUUAAUAAACUGUUCAUGAAUAUGCUGCAGGUGUGGCUAUUCCUGAUCCUAGAGGUUCAAGCUGGAAGUUGUGUGAGACCAUUGGGCCUGUAUGAGGAUACAGGUGUUCGGUGAAAAUGCUCUGAAGACUGAGGGUCACGAUGACUGAAGCAACCCGGAAUCUCCAGGCCUGUCUCCAUUUCGGGGACAAUUGUGUCCUUUUUAGUUAAUGUGAUUUUUCAAGUCUAAAUACGUGUGAUUUAAUUUUGAAAACUUUUGAGUUUUGAUGUUUGAUAUGUGACUUUGCUUUUUUUUUUUUUUUUAUAGACCAUUAAAAUGUCACCUUGGUUCAUAAAAUAUGA